GUGCUGGCUUCUGUAGUACACAGGCUAAAACUGGAGCAGCAUGGAGAUGAGCAUGGCCUUUGUGCAACAAUGAUACAUAGAUUCAUGAUGAAUUCCAUAUUUUU